rnacentral:sRNA from 1 species
AUAUUCAGAGCCUCAGAACCACAUGCAGCGUCUGUUUCUGCAGUGUGGGCUGUUUAAUGCCCUGUUAAAUACUGCAGACGUCUGGAGUGCCGUUCAUGUUGGCAUUCAGGGGUGACGUCUUUUUUUAUUCGAGAGGGCAAAGCAGAAGGUAUGGGUUAGGCACUGCCUUCUGGGAGGGGCCUUUUGUUCCUUCUCCAUAUCUCUCCCUGAUAAGGGUAGCUGGAUUCCUUUCUACAACUUGGCUUUCUUGUAGCCUGAGCUGUUUGUAGUCCUUGCUGAAAAUGGCUCCGAUUCCAUUUAACAAAUGAGAAACACUUCUUGUCCAGAUGCCUCCGUGGUCAUGUCCCCAGUCUUCCUUCUGUGUCAUUUCACUUUGCCUCUUCCAGAGGGCUGAGGCCCUCCCCAAUACAGGGAAACACCUUGGUCAUUAGAUCUUGUCAUGCUUGCCUUUGCCCCAGAACUGUCUCGACCACUUGGUGGAUUUUCAGUGGGAUCCUUGUAAACUGUCAAAGGAAACCACUUCAUCCUCACAGCUGCCAGUUUUUAAGCCUCGUGAACUCAGAUCUGGAUGGUCCUUCUGUCAUUUAUAAUCACUCAGUAUUCCUGCAGCAACUUCAGGGCCUCUGGUCUUGAAGCAGACCCUGCAGAGCAAUCAAAUGCUGAGCGCUUGGAGGGCUUAACCUCGCUCAGUUUCCUGUUCUUUAGUCUCCCUAACCCAGGUCUACCUGGUCCUAUACCAUACAUUGACAGCGUCCAACUGGGGGCCCGGUGCAGUAAGCUGCACAGUAGAGACGAUGGGACGCUUUUAAAAUCCUGAUGCCCAGGAAAUUCCCAGCUCAAUUAAAUCAGAAAUGUCGCAGUGGGGGCCAGACACCGUUUCACAUUCCCAGGUGAUUCCAGUAUGCAGCCAGACUCGAGCCACUGCAAUACACCCAUUUUCCUUUUGAAAAAUCAUGCUCCCUCCAGUGUUAGUAAAUGUCCUUCAGACCCUGUGGAGUGGCCUUCUUUAAACCACGACAAUGGACUGGCCUUUAUGUCCAAAGGAGACAAUACUAGCUUGGCUUCAGCCCUAGUGAACACAGUGAACACAGGAAGCAGGCAGUUUAAUCCAUCUGUGGUCCUUCCUCUGCCUCCCAAUUAACUAAGUGUGCCUUUGCAGUCAACUCUGACGUCCUUGGCUGAUAGGCAAGGGAGGGAAGUACAAGGCAAGUUUACAAUCCUGAUUCAAACCCAGCCCACCUUCCCGAAACCAGCACACAGAGCUGGCAUCACCAUGGAAACCAUCUCCUCACAGUGGAGCAGGAUGCCAGUGGAGGCAGCGAGUGUGUCUGUGAAGACAGCCAUAGUCAGGGGCAGGGUUUCCCUUUGCAGGAGCAGGAGUGGCGGGAGCUGGGAGGCAGGAAGCUCUCUGGGUUCCUGGGGGCUUUGGAGUCCAUUCUAACAGUCUCACAUGAGGCUGGGCAUUUUGGUGCUGCCAAGUCUUGGUACCAGAGAGUGAUGUUCUGCUGCCAUUAGCAGCCAGGGUUGGCAGAAAAUCAAAUUUGGAGUCCCCAAGUGUGACUUCAGUCCUCACUGAGAAGUGCACAGCCGGUGUGGGGGGCUUAACAAGAGCACUUUGCUUUCUGGGGAUUUCUGCUUGGGCAUAAAAGCAUUUGCCAAUGCUUGCAGAAAACACAGAACAAAGGAUACAAGUACAGCAGCAACACAGCCAGGAGGGCAGCCCCAGAGUUGGGAGGCCAACAGUGCUACUGGGCUCAAGUGCUGUUAUAAGGAGAAGUGUGGCUGUACACGACGCUCUGUGUGUUGAAGUGCUGAAGACCUCGGCUGGGCUGGGACUGAGUCUGGAUGGGGGAAAAUCAUCUGUGACAGGAGAUGGGCCCUUGGUCAUUAAAAGAGUGUACAAAGGUGGUGCAGCUGAACAAGCUGGAAUAAUAGAAGCUGGAGAUGAAAUUCUUGCUAUUAAUGGGAAACCUCUGGUUGGGCUCAUGCACUUUGAUGCCUGGAAUAUUAUGAAGUCUGUCCCAGAAGGACCUGUGCAGUUAUUAAUUAGAAAGCAGAGGAAUUCUUCAUGAAUUUUAACAAGAAUCAUUUUCUCAGUUCUCUUCUUUCUUUAGCAAAUCAGAGUGACUUCUUAAACCACAGGUUCUUGAAAUGGCCAACACUGGUAUAGACACAGACUAUAAAAAUCUCCAAGCGUGUGCUUACACAUGAAGCCUGACUUAACUGUAUGUGCAACAGCAAUGAAAUUAACUCCAGAAGCCUUCCACCUGGAUCACCCAGGCCGGGAGGGUUCAUUCGUUCCAGUGCCUGUCCCCUACCUUUAUGUUUACUGAUGGGGAUACAAGAUGUGACACACCCUUCUUUAUUUGAAACACUCAGCUAGACCUUUGCUUCCUUCUUGCCAGCUCUCCCAACAUACCCAAUCCUGGUGAUUAGGGAACUAAAAGUCUGAGGGAGACACAAAUGUCACACCUAAGAGGACUAUCAUCAUUUUAUAUGAUUUUGUAAGUAAAUGACAGAAUGCUUUUAGGCACAUUCGAUGGAAGGAGGAGCUGUAGGUCUGUAUAUGUUACCCUGAAAAGAGAGUAAGACUUAAAAAAAUGAAUUAUGAUCUGUUAGGCCGAGCUCAGGAAUUGUCCAAAAAUGAAAAAGCAAAAUAGAGUAUUUUUUAGUGAGUGUAAUGUAUAAUGUACGUAUGCAAAGUUCAACUCAAUAGGUUAUUGAUCACCAUGAAGCAUUGAUCAUUUUCUAUCUCAAAAGUGUAAGCCAUAAGGCUGUUUUACAGAAUAGCACUUCUUUAAAUAGGCAUGAGCUUCACUGCUUAGAGGGAGCAGAAACGUCAACAUCUAAAAGCACCUUACAACUAGUUUUUGAACCUGUCUUGGUAAGUGCUGGAAUUCAAGACUGGUCAGUACAAGAGCAGACAAAAAUAUCACAGUCACUGGGUUUCCAUUUCUGUAUUUUAUGCACUCCAACCAUGAAUUUAAACUAAAUUCUUAGAAAUCAAUCAAGUAUCUUUCUAAGUGUCCUUGGAUUUAUAGACAAUGUACGUACAAUCCAAAUAGAGGAGCUUAAUGGAAUCCUUUUAGGAGACUGGUUGGUUUUUUUCCUCUUUCCCAACAUGUUUAAGAAAUGUAACAUUCUAAGUAUUGGAUCUCUUUUCUUGACCUAGUAUAAUGACAACUGCAGUGACUUCAGUUUUUGCUGUUUUCGUUUUCCCGCUUUGCAAUUUCCUCCUUUUGCCAAAAAUGUUUUCCUACAGAAGACUGUCGUGACUCACGCUGCUUGGGAAACUCACUCUGGCCACUCCUCCUCUGGUGGCAUGAGCUGCUUCCCAGUAGCUAUUCCGAUUGGAUAUUCCGUUCAUCGUCACAUAGCUGGCUUUUCUCCCCUCGUGAUGUACCCUUAUUUUCUUAGGUAAAUUCCAAACUCUCAUCGGGUCAUAAGGAGGAGGAGAAACAGGGUGAGUCAAGGUAAAGGAGCAGAAAUAUAGUUACAAGCCAGGUCUUCAGUGGCACAAACCAACCCGUUGAGCCCUAACAAUAUGAGUGGAGAGUGCAUUUGCCAUACCUGUGUGCAUGACACUAAGAUUUUAUGUUGGAGAUACUUCUUUAAAUAACCUACAGCUUGAGUCUAUGGCUAUGACCCCCAGAUUCAUGGAGGGGCUUUAGCCAUCAGCUUUGUACAUCAUUUUUCUGAAUGACCAAUCCCACUAAACAUCUUUGAAGUCGGCCUAGAGAGGUCCUUCAGAUGAGAGAGAAAUAGCUGGCUUGUCUGAGUCCAGAUUUCUCAUCAACCGGCAAUACAAAGGAAAAUAUAGUACAUGAGUUAGUUAGAAAGGUCUUAUUGAUUUUACUUCUACUUUUCACUACAGUUACAUGUAGGAUACUGUAGGAAGUCAGUGCAAGGUGCAUGCAUGAUUGAUUGUUUUUUCAGUCUCUGGGGUCAGUUUUGUGGUUUCUGCUUUCUUGCCUAAAUCAAGUCAACACUGAAAACUGCUUUUUUGCCUCCACUCUUACAGCUGUGCCUAAUAAUAAGAAACGCACAGCCCUGUGUGAACAGACAGGAAUUCCUUGUGCAAUGUGGAGCAAAUGGAACGGUCUCCUUCUGCAAGUCCUUAAUCCUCAUAUCUGGAGUACAAGGGUAGACCUCUGGCUUACCACAUACACUAUGCUAAAGUCAUCAGCCACUGCUACUACAUCUUGCCAGAAGGUUUCCCUCACCAACAACAGUUGAAAUUUAAGGGAAGAAGCAAAAGCUAAACUGUCUUUGACCCUAAGAUAGAAAGCUAUUUAUUUGUCUUCAGUGUUCAAGGCAUGACUAGUAUUUCUAAUUAGCCUAAUAAAUUCCCACACUUUCUGAAGUGAACACUAAUGGUAUUGUCCUACUAAAACUGUCAUUGUUUUUUUUUUAACUGGUCAGUCAUUCACAAUAAGCUAUGAGGGUAAAUACGUGUUAUAACAAGUAAAUCGUAGUUGCAAGAAUAUACCAUGAAGAUUAAAGUAGGCUGGGUUUCAUUUCCAUCUUCCCACACAUCUCAUUGAAUUUGAUGGUUGACUUAAUUGGCACCAUAACUUUGUAUGAUAUUAUACAUUAUCCUUUAUUUAUGUAAAGUAAAAUGCCUUAUAUAUUAAAGAGUAAGUGCAAUAAUAUGAAAUAGCCUGUACAUUUUAAAAAUGUUGUCACCAAGUUAUAUAAAUCCACAUCUCUGUAAACAAACUUUUUUAAGUAAUUUUAAAAAAAUAAACACUCUGCUUACU